AAGCCGCGAUAGUCCACGGCGCGGUGCAAGUAACCCUUGACCCGUGGGUUUCCGAAUGGGGCAACCCGGCCGUCUAGAUGACGGUCAUGCAUUAUCAUGCAGGCGAACGCGGGGAACUGAAACAUCUCAUUACCCGCAGGAGAAGAAAACAAAAUGUGAUUCCCCCAGUAGUGGCGAGCGACCGGGGAAGAGCCCAAACCGGUAGCGUUUCGGCGAUAACGGGGUCAUGGGACCACGCCAUUCGAAACAAGAUGAAGUGCAAUUACCUGGAAAGGUAAGCCGCGGAGGGUGAUAGCCCCGUGCACGUCAAUUCUUGUGGAGAUAGUGGAAUCCCGAGUAGGGCGGGACACGAGAAAUCCUGCCUGAAUUCGCCAGGACCUCCUGGCAAGGCUAAAUACUCCCGAGAGACCGAUAGUGAACCAGUACCGCGAGGGAAAGGUGAAAAGUACCCCGAGCAGGGGGGUGAAAUAGACCCUGAACCCGCGCGCCUACAAGCGGUCGGAGCUGCCUUGUGCAGUGACGGCGUGCCUUUUGCAUAAUGAGCCUACGAGUUAGUCGUCACCAGCGAGGUUAAGGGCUUCAGGCCCGUCAGCCGAAGUGAAAGCGAGCCUUAACAGGGCGUCAAGUUGGUGGCGCUAGACGCGAAACCUUGUGAUCUACCCACGAGCAGGUUGAAGUCGCGGUAACACGUGAUGGAGGACCGAACCGGUAAACGUUGAAAAGUUUUCGGAUGACUCGCGGGUAGGGGUGAAAGGCCAAUCAAACUGGGAAAUAGCUCGUACUCUCCGAAAUGCAUUUCGGUGCAGCCUGUGAUGUUCUGUUCCAGAGGUAGAGCUACUGGUUGGACGCGAGGGCUUCACCGCCUAUCAAAUCCGGAUAAACUCCGAAUGCUGGAACACGAAAUCAUGGAGUGAGCCCGCGGGUGCUAAGGUCCGCGGACGAGAGGGAAAGAACCCGGACCACCGGCUAAGGUCCCGGAUGGACAGUUAAGUUGAUCAAACGAGGUGGGAUCGCUGAGACAGCUAGGAUGUUGGCUUGGAAGCAGCCAUUCAUUUAAAGAGUGCGUAACAGCUCACUAGUCGAGCGAUCCCGCGUGGAUAAUACACGGGCAUCAAACUGUCAACCGAAGCCGUGGGGUCAGCGAAAAGCUGACCGGUAGGAGAGCAUUCCUGCCAGCGUUGAAGGUCACCCGCGAGAGUGACUGGAGCGGCAUGAAAAGCAAAUGUAGGCAUAAGUAACGAUAAUGGGGGCGAGAACCCCCCACGCCGCAAGACCAAGGCUUCCCCGGCAAUGUCAAUCAGCCGGGGGUCAGCCGGCCUCUAAGGCUAACCCGAAGGGGGAUGCCGACGAGAAACGGGUUAACAUUCCCGUGCUUCUCGUCACCGUGACGCGGUGACGGGGUGAUGAAUGGACCGCGCGCUGACGGAAUAGCGCGUUGAAGGCCGUACCCUGUGACGGUGGUAGUCAAGCACGCCACCGGAGGCGAAAGUCGAUAGUACCUCGAGGCCUCGGCCGAGGGGAUAGCGUCCAGGCAAUUUACCCCCGAGAAAACCCGCUAAACUUCAAGUGACGAGGAACCGUACUGUAAACGGACACACGUGGUCGGGUAGAACAUACCAAGGCGCUCGAGUGAUUCAUGGUCAAGGAACUAGGCAAAAUAGUCCUGUAACUUCGGGAAAAAGGACGCUCUAGUGAUAGAGCCGCAGAGUAAUGGCCCAGGCGACUGUUUACCAAAAACACAUGGCUAUGCCAAAUCGAAAGAUGACGUAUAUGGCCUGACACCUGCCCGGUGCCGGAAGGUUAAGAGGAGAGCUCAUCGGAAACGAGAAGGUUUGAAUUGAAGCCCCGGUAAACGGCGGCCGUAACUAUAACGGUCCUAAGGUAGCGAAAUUCCUUGUCGGGU
rnacentral:rRNA from 1 species